CAGCACAGCCACAUGAUCCUGAACGUAUCAAAUCUCAUCUGACUUUGGAAGCUAAACAGGAUUGGGCCUGGUUAGACCACCAGGGCAUACCAGAGGCUUCCAGGUAGGUCUAGG
rnacentral:rRNA from 1 species